rnacentral:misc_RNA from 1 species
CCAAAAUCUAGCUCAUCUUUUUUCUCUUCGGCCGCCUCUUAUUUCGUUAAGAUCAACUCUCUUUCUUCUGUUACACUAUCUAUAAGUUUCGCUUGGCGGAGCUUUUGGUUCGUGAAAUCAUCUUCUUUUCAUUUUCGCUACGAUUUUGUUUUUGAUUUUGAAUAGCGUUUCCAAAAUGGAGUUUGUAAGGCAACAAAAUAGAGUCUCUGGAUUGCUUUGAUUUUUAAUAGCGUUUUCAGUGCUGUACGUUGCCAAUACUGAUUUGGUGCUGAGAUUCUGGCAUUUUCCUCAAUUUUCUCCUUGAGGCUUAUGCAUUCAGAUGUACCCACAUACCCAUUUACAUUUGCUUUUGGAAUUGUAAGAAUUUUUUACAAAAAUUUCAGCUUUUAUGGCUCCUUAUUUCUGUAGAUCUUGUAUGCUUUAUAAUCUAGUUCAAUCCCCAGAAAUUGUUUGAAUUGGUGAAUUAUCUGAGUCUAAAAUCUUAGCUUUUGGGGAAAUAUCAGGGUUUAUGGCUGGCUCUGUGUUCUCUGUUGUUUAAUUGCUACCAAUGGCCUCUUUUCUUUUGUAUCAUUUUCUCUGUUUUCAGUUUGUAGAUCAGUUACCAAAUCUAUCUCCCCUUAGCCUCUCCUUUGUUUGAUAUUGGCCAAAAUAUGAGAAAAGAUGGAGUUGAGAAUGGUUGAUUUUGUGAAGUAUGACUGGGCCUGUGAUGCAUAGAAAAUUGUCCGUACCAUCUGAUGAUAUCU